UAUAAGGCGGAGUUAUCCGCAGGUGUGGGUCUGUGUGGGUGGACAGGUAAAGCUGAAGGUGAAUGGGAGUUUAGUUCUUAGCGAUUUAGUUGGUUUAGCAUAAGAACGAUUUAAAUACAUAGCUUACAUUUUGGUCGUAGUACACGUGCUUUGCGGAGAGCCGGAGAGAAGUUAUACGCAGCGAUCGAUCAAAUUUCAGAUGUUGCAAUCUCAAACACGGACCUAAAAGACUAAAGUCGAAUUUCCACGGAUAAAAAGGAGCACACGAACAUGAAGAAAUCAUAUUCUGGCAUUGCGAGGUCCACCAGCGGCAAGCUGAGGAGGCCAGAGAGAGGAGAGGCAACAAGUCCUACUGGUACUGGUUCUGCAUCCUCUCACAGCGGGAAGCGCAGUCUGCUUUUGCACUGUCAGCACGUCUGCAUAUGGGGGCUGGUUGAAGAUCCAGAGAUCUGCUUUGACAAACUUCACAAACAAAGCAUACACAUGAACACAUGUUCACAAAUGACGCACACAGGAGAAAGAAUGCUAAUUAAAGCAAAUGUUUGUUUGUGUGCUGUCCAGGCGGUCUCACAUUUAAUGCCCCACUUUUUCUCUUACAUAAAACAGAAAACUGUUUUCCUCA